rnacentral:ncRNA from 1 species
ACGGUUUGAACAGAACCUUUGCCAAAAGUUUUUUCACCGAGGAUAACCGCACGCUUGUGAUCCUGCAAAGCACCGGCAACAAUUUCGGAAGCAGAGGCGGAACCAUCGUUAACAAUAACAACAAUCGGAAGACCUUCGGCAAUAUCGCCUUUUUUGGCAUUAUAUUUUACGGUAUCUUCUUCAUUGCGGGAACGGGUGGAGACAAUUUCCCCCUUAUCCAAAAACAAGUCGGAAACGGCAACCGCCUGAUCCAGAAGCCCGCCCGGAUUAUUGCG